rnacentral:misc_RNA from 1 species
CAACCCUCAAGCGCUGUUCCGCUUGGAGUUGGGGCUCUUGCAGCGAGCACUCCAGUGCUUCGCAAGCCCCGAAAUUCAGCGGCGGGCCCGCCGGCACACCGAGCGCAGUAAAUAUUACUUCUCGUUCAGGGCGUGCGGCGCGGCGCAGCCGGAUCUUCUAAAACUUUUCAA